UACGGAGGAUCCAAGCGUUAUCCGGAUUUAUUGGGCGUAAAGGGCGCGUAGGCGGCCUGGCAAGUGGAAGGUGAAAUCCCUCGGCUUAACCGAGGAACUGCCCUCCAAACUGCUUGGCUUGAGUCCGGGAGAGGUGAGUGGAAUUCCCAGUGUAGCGGUGAAAUGCGUAGAUAUUGGGAGGAACACCAGUGGCGAAGGCGGCUCACUGGACCGGAACUGACGCUGAGGCGCGAAAGCGUGGGGAGCAAACGGG
rnacentral:rRNA from 1 species